rnacentral:rRNA from 1 species
AUUGAACGCUGGCGGCAGGCCUAACACAUGCAAGUCGAGCGGAGCUGCGGACGGAUGGGUGAUGCCUAGGUAUCUGACUGGCCGAGAGGGCUAAGGUACGGUCACGGGCGCUAAUACAGCAUACUAUUAGAUGAGCCUAGGUCGGAUUAGCUAGUUGGUGGGGUAAAGGCCUACCAAGGCGACGAUCCGUAACUGCCCUGAGAGGAUGAUCAGUCACACUGGAACUGAGACACGGUCCAGACUCCUACGGGAGGCAGCAGUGGGGAAUAUUGGACAAUGGGCGAAAGCCUGAUCCAGCCAUGCCGCGUGUGUGAAGAAGGUCUUCGGAUUGUAAAGCACUUUAAGUUGGGAGGCGUUACCAACAGAGUAAGCCCCGGCUAACUUCGUGCCAGCCGCCGCGGUAAUUC